UAUGAGUUGUGACCGCAUGGUCAACAGUUGGAAAGAACUUCGGUCAAGGAUGAGCUCGCGGCCUAUCAGCUUGUUGGUGAGGUAAUGGCUCACCAAGGCGUCGACGGGUAGCCGGCCUGAGAGGGUGACCGGCCACACUGGGACUGAGACACGGCCCAGACUCCUACGGGAGGCAGCAGUGGGGAAUAUUGCACAAUGGGCGCAAGCCUGAUGCAGCAACGCCGCGUGAGGGACGACGGCCUUCGGGUUGUAAACCUCUUUUAGCAGGGAAGAAGCGAAAGUGACGGUACCUGCAGAAAAAGCACCGGCUAACUACGUGCCAGCAGCCGCGGUAAUACGUAGGGUGCAAGCGUUAUCCGGAAUUAUUGGGCGUAAAGAGCUCGUAGGCGGUUUGUCGCGUCUGCUGUGAAAUCUGGGGGCUCAACCCCCAGCCUGCAGUGGGUACGGGCAGACUAGAGUGCGGUAGGGGAGAUUGGAAUUCCUGGUGUAGCGGUGGAAUGCGCAGAUAUCAGGAGGAACACCGAUGGCGAAGGCAGAUCUCUGGGCCGUAACUGACGCUGAGGAGCGAAAGGGUGGGGAGCAAACAGGCUUAGAUACCCUGGUAGUCCACCCCGUAAACGUUGGGAACUAGUUGUGG
rnacentral:rRNA from 1 species